GGGGGGGGGCAAGCGUUGUUCGGAAUUACUGGGGCGUAAAGGGGCGCGCAGGCGGCCUGGCCAGUCCUACGUGAAAUCCCACAGCUCAACUGUGGAACUGCGUGGGAUACUGCCAGGCUUGAGUCCCGGGAGAGGAGAGUGGAAUUCCCAGUGUAGCGGUGAAAUGCGUAGAUAUUGGGAGGAACACCGGUGGCGAAGGCGGCUCUCUGGACCGGCACUGACGCUGAGGCGCGAAAGCUAGGGGAGCAAACGGGAUUAGAUACCCCGGUAGUCCUAGCCCUAAACGAUGAGCACUUUGUGUGGCGGGUAUCGACCCCUGCCGUGCAGAAGCUAACGCAUUAAGUGCUCCGCCUGGGGAGUACGGUCGCAAAGGCUG
rnacentral:rRNA from 1 species